UACGUAGGGUGCAAGCGUUGUCCGGAAUUAUUGGGCGUAAAGAGCUCGUAGGCGGCCAACUAAGUCAGACGUGAAAUCCCUCGGCUUAACCGGGGAACUGCGUCUGAUACUGGAUGGCUUGAGUUUGGGAGAGGGAUGCGGAAUUCCAGGUGUAGCGGUGAAAUGCGUAGAUAUCUGGAGGAACACCGGUGGCGAAGGCGGCAUCCUGGACCAACACUGACGCUGAGGAGCGAAAGCCAGGGGAGCAAACGGG
rnacentral:rRNA from 1 species